rnacentral:rRNA from 1 species
CCUACGGGUGGCUGCAGUGAGGAAUAUUGGUCAAUGGGCGCGAGCCUGAACCAGCCACGUAGCGUGAAGGAUGACUGCCCUACGGGUUGUAAACUUCUUUUAUAAAGGCAUAAAGUGAGGCACGUGUGCCUUUUUGUAUGUACUUUAUGAAUAAGGAUCGGCUAACUCCGUGCCAGCAGCCGCGGUAAUACGGAGGAUCCGAGCGUUAUCCGGAUUUAUUGGGUUUAAAGGGCGCGUAGAUGGGUUGUUAAGUCAGUUGUGAAAGGUUGCGGCUCAACCGUAAAAUUGCAAUUGAUACUGGCAGUCUUGAGUACAGUAGAGGUAGGCGGAAUUCGUGGUGUAGCGGUGAAAUGCUUAGAUAUCACGAAGAACUCCGAUUGCGAAGGCAGCUUACUAAACUGCCACUGACAUUGAUGCGCGAAAGUGUGGGUAUCAAACAGGAUUAGAUACCCUGGUAGUC